rnacentral:rRNA from 1 species
GACGAACGCUGGCGGUGUGCUUAACACAUGCAAGUCGAACGGUAAGGCCCUUUCGGGGGUACCCGAGUGGCGAACGGGUGAGUAACACGUGAGUAACCUGCCCUCAUCUCUGGGAUAACAGUCGGAAACGGUUGCUAAUACUGGAUAUGAGCUUGCAAGGCAUCUUGUGGGUUGGAAAGAUUUUUUUUGGUUGGGGAUGGACUCGCGGCCUAUCAGCUUGUUGGUGAGGUAGUGGCUCACCAAGGCUUCGACGGGUAGCCGGCCUGAGAGGGCGACCGGCCACAUUGGGACUGAGAUACGGACCAAACUCCUACGGGAGGCAGCAGUGGGGAAUAUUGCACAAUGGACGGAAGUCUGAUGCAGCAACGCCGCGUGCGGGAUGACGGCCUUCGGGUUGUAAACCGCUUUCAAUUGUGACGAAGCGUUUUUGUGACGGUAGCAGUAGAAGAAGCACCGGCUAACUACGUG